GGCGGUGUUUUAGACCUCUCAGGGGAACCUGUCUCGUAAUCGACAAUCCGCGUUAAACCUAACCCUUUAUAGCAAUUCAGCCUGUAUACCGUCGUCGCCAGGUAACUUCUUAAAAUAUAGUAGUUAGCUUGAAAAUUAUAUUAAUUAAAACGUCAGAUCAAGGUGCAGCUAAUAAAAGGGAGAGGAUGGGUUACAAUUACAUAUUUGUAAUUACGGCAAAAUGCUUGAAACAAAGUGUUUAUGAAGGAGGACUU
rnacentral:rRNA from 1 species